UUGGUUAAGUCAGGCAACGAGCGAGAUCCGCGCCUUUAUUUGCCAACAAGAAGUCACGACUUCGUUGGGAACACUAAAGGGACCGCCUUCGAUAAGACGGAGGAAGGAGCGGGCAAAGGCAGGUCAGUAUGCCCCGAAACCCCUGGGCUACACGCGGGCUGCAAUGAUAUGAACAAUGGGCAGUAACUCCGAAAGGAGAAACCAAUCCCGAAAUCAUAUCUCAGUGGGGAUUGUCGGCUGUAACCCGCAGACAUGAACGUGGAAUCCCUAGUAAUCGUGUGUCAUCAUCGCACGGUGAAUACGUCCCUGCUCCUUGCAC
rnacentral:rRNA from 1 species